rnacentral:rRNA from 1 species
GACGAACCGUGCGAACGUUGUUCGGAAUCACUGGGCUUAAAGGGUGCGUAGGCGGGGUGGCAAGUCUGUGGUGAAAUCCUCCGGCUCAACCGGAGAACUGCCGUGGAUACUGCCAUUCUCGAGGGGUGUAGGGGCAUGUGGAACUCAGGGUGGAGCGGUGAAAUGCGUAGAUAUCCUGAGGAACGCCGGUGGCGAAAGCGACGUGCUGGACACCUACUGACGCUGAGGCACGAAAGCCAGGGGAGCGAACGGG